GGGAUGUCAGGGACCGAUAUCUUCGGCUACCUUGUUUGUUUUGUGAGUGCCUACACUUCAGAAUAAUUCCGAAGCUACAAGUCAUUGAAGUCUCAUGUACAGUUCACAAAUGGAUGGGUUCAGGAGCUGCAGAUCAUAGAACCCCGGAACAGCGGCAAACAGUAUACAUUAAUCCGCUAGACCUCUCGUGACGACUCUCAGCACCAAACACACAGCGGAGGCUUCAAAACUGCCACUCCACACCUGUCACCAAAUAAACCCUCACACUGGAGGACAGAUGUGUCCAUAUGACUGACUUAAGGAGUCAUGAAUCAUAACUUCUGCCAAGUUCAGUGGAGGCUGCUCAGCUGCAGUGAGUUAGACACACUCUCACCGGUGCUUUAGAUGCUGCUCGUGUCCUCGGCUGUUUUCAUUUAAACCUCAUCUAUCUUUCUAAAAAUCCUACUAUGUCUCAUUUAGCUUGAAGUAUAUUACGAAAUGUAAAUAUAUUUGCAAACAUGCUUGGAAGAAGAAGAAAAAACCCACCUCUCAAGCAAUUAGACCAUGCAUGAAACAAAUAAUUAUGAAGUUACUAAACACUGGUUAUGUAUAUCCAGGGGCGGAUCUACUGGGGUGGCAUAGUGUGGCAAAUGCCACCCUAAAAGAAAGCCUUGCCACCCCUGCUGCCACCCCAGUUGGCAGCAACGAAUUAAAGGUUAUGGCCAAUAUGAACAUUUACCAGCGCAAAUCUUUCAUGAUUCGUGACCCCGCUCCGAACUCCCGAUCUGAUUCAAAUGAUUCGCGAACUCGCUCCGAACUCCCAAACUGACUCAAAUGAUUCGCGAACCCGAUUCGAACUCUCGAAUUGAUUCAAAUGA